GGGUUGCAUGAAAGGAGAGGUGGUUAGCACUUCCCUUUGAAAAGGAUGGAAGAGACACUCAGGCCUGAAAACAUGGGUAGAGUUAAGCAAUUGCCACCCAUUUCAUGGUAUCUAACUUUUGUCUUUU
rnacentral:ncRNA from 1 species